rnacentral:rRNA from 1 species
UACGGGGGGGGCAAGCGUUGUUCGGAAUUACUGGGCGUAAAGGGCUCGUAGGCGGCCCUCUCAGUCGGAUGUGAAAUCCCCAGGCUUAACCUGGGAACGGCAUCCGAUACUGGAUGGCUUGAAUCCGGGAGAGGGAUGCAGAAUUCCAGGUGUAGCGGUGAAAUGCGUAGAUAUCUGGAGGAACACCGGUGGCGAAGGCGGCAUCCUGGACCAUUACUGACGCUGAGGCGCGAAAGCCAGGGGAGCAAACGGG